CUGUAAUUGGUUCCUGUGAAGUGGGAGAGACAAGAAGUGAUGUGGGAAAAAGGACUAUAAAUGGUGAGACUGAGAAGAUUGAGGUCAUUCCUUCAUUCCUUGGAUUUUUGUUGAGCAGGCUCUCCUGAAGGAGGAUUCUGGAGCUUUAUGUGCUGGAGGCUUGUUGGGUGACUGACUGGAGCCAAAGGAAGAGGCUUGCAUUGGUGGAACCCUUGCUGAAGAUACUGCCAGGACUUUGGCUUAAGAGACUACUAUGACUCCAUGUGGAUAUUGGGACUCGAGGGAGCUCUUGCCAGUUCUUUCUCUGCAUGAACCCACAUCAAUUUGGAAGAACAAAAACUAAAAAAUCCCAAAGGAAUCAAUGGAAAAAAUGUAAAGGAAUUCUGAAUCACAGUUCCAGGCCAGAGAGGAGAACUUGGGGUUGAUUACAAGGGACCAAGGACCCUGGUCAUAGUUUCAGAG
rnacentral:lncRNA from 1 species